rnacentral:ncRNA from 1 species
UGACCAGGAGGCCGGGACGUUCUGAUCGAAACCGGAUCGGAGUGACCUAGGGGUACUGGGAGUGCCCCCGCGAGGGCCGGGUCAGGAAAAAC